rnacentral:rRNA from 1 species
GACAGAGGGUGCGAGCGUUAAUCGGAGUGACUGGGCGUAAAGGGCGUGCAGGUGGUUACCAUGGUUGAGUGUGAAAGCCCCCGGCUUAACCGGGGAAGGGCAUUCAAUACCGGGUAGCUUGAGUGGAAAGAGGGUCGUGGAAUUCCGGUGUAGCGGUGAAAUGCGUAGAUAUCGGAAGGAACACCAGCGGCGAAGGCGGCGACCUGGUUCUCAACUGACACUGAGGCGCGA